rnacentral:rRNA from 1 species
CCCUUAGAUGUCCGGGGCCGCACGCGCGCUACACUGAAGGAAUCAGCGUGGCUUUCUCCCUGACCCGAAAGGGUUGGGAAACCCGUUGAAUCUCCUUCGUGAUAGGGAUUGGGGCUUGAAAUUGUUCCCCAUGAACGAGGAAUUCCCAGUAAGCGCGAGUCAUAAGCUCGCGUUGAUUACGUCCCUGCCCUUUGUACACACCGCCCGUCGCUACUACCGAUUGAACGGUUUAGUGAGGGCCUCGGAUUGGUCUCGGCCCGCUCUUUACCGGGCGGCGCCGUUGGUCGAGAAGACGCUCGAACUUGAUCGUUUAGAGGAAGUAAAAGUCGAAACA